GACAUUUGUGUGCCAAGUGGCUAUAGUCAGGUGGUAUGUUCUGUACGAAGGUGCAGCGAUGGAGGAGAAGACUGAAGAUGACUCCAAGUGUUCAAGCCACAGAGGGUGGCAGCACCAUUGAUGUUAGGCAGGAAAAGAAAAGCAAAUUCAGAAGAUGCUGGGGAGGAGGAUCCAGCCUGGAGAAGCGUCCAAAAAGACAACUUAAGCUGUUGCGUAACCAUCCAGAAACACACGAUAAGAGUCCUCUUUCAGCAAAUAUUCUUGAUUAAGUCAUGAAAAUGGAAUUGGAGCUUAUUUUUCCCCUUUGUAUGGUAAGUAACUACUAAUAUGGAUAGUUCUAAUCUUCUCACAAUAUUAAAAACAAAUGGAGCUACUUCUUGUGUGAAGAUGGCAUGACUUCUAAUAUCUAGAUUUGCCAUCGGUGUGUUUCAUAGAAAAGAGAAUGUUCAAUUUAUUC
ensembl:lncRNA